CACGUAGGCGGCUUUGUAAGUUAGAGGUGAAAGCCCGGGGCUCAACUCCGGAACUGCCUUUAAGACUGCAUCGCUUGAAUCUGGGAGAGGUAAGUGGAAUUCCGAGUGUAGAGGUGAAAUUCGUAGAUAUUCGGAAGAACACCAGUGGCGAAGGCGGCUUACUGGACCAGAAUUGACGCUGAGGUGCGAAAGCGUGGGAGCAAACA
rnacentral:rRNA from 1 species